rnacentral:rRNA from 1 species
AUUGAACGCUGGCGGCAGGCCUAACACAUGCAAGUCGAACGAGUGGCGGACGGGUGAGUAAUGUCUGGGAAACUGCCUGAUGGAGGGGGAUAACUACUGGAAACGGUAGCUAAUACCGCAUACCAUCAGAUGUGCCCAGAUGGGAUUAGCUUGUUGGUGGGGGAACGGCUCACACAGGCGCCGAUCCCUAGCUGGUCUGAGAGGCUGACCAGCCCCACGUGAACUGAGACACGGUCCAGCCUCCUACGGGAGGCAGCAGUGGGGAAUAUUGCACAAUGGGCGCAAGCCUUAUGCAGCCAUGCCGCGUGUCUGAAGAAGGCCUUCGGGUUGUAAAGUACUUGCAGCGGUGAGGCGUUACCCGCAGAAGAAGCACCGGCUAACUCCGUGCCAGCCGCCGCGGUAAUAC